CAUAACCUACGGGGGGCAGCAGUGGGGAAUAUUGCACAAUGGGGGAAACCCUGAUGCAGCGACGCCGCGUGAAGGAAGAAGUAUUUCGGUAUGUAAACUUCUAUCAGCAGGGAAGAAAAUGACGGUACCUGACUAAGAAGCCCCGGCUAACUACGUGCCAGCAGCCGCGGUAAUACGUAGGGGGUAAGCGUUAUCCGGAUUUACUGUGUGUAAAGGGAGCGUAGGCGGCGAUGCAAGUCAGAAGUGAGAGCCCGGGGCUCAACUCCGGGACUGCUUUUGAAACUGUGUUGCUAGAUUGCAGGAGG
rnacentral:rRNA from 1 species